GUAACGACUCUCGGCAACGGAUAUCUCGGCUCUCGCAUCGAUGAAGAACGUAGCGAAAUGCGAUACUUGGUGUGAAUUGCAGAAUCCCGUGAACCAUCGAGUCUUUGAACGCAAGUUGCGCCCGAAGCCUUCAGGUUGAGGGCACGUCUGCCUGGGUGUCACG
rnacentral:rRNA from 1 species